GGGUUCGAUUCUGGCUCAGGACAAACGCUGGCGGCGUGCAUAACACAUGCAAGUCGAACGAAAUCUACAUGAUUUAGUGGCGAACGGGUGAGUAACACGUGAGAAACCUGCCUUACACAGAGGGAUAGCCGUUGGAAACGACGAUUAAUACCUCAUGACACCGUGACAUCGCAUGAUGAUGCGGUCAAAGAUUAAUCGGUGUAAGAUGGUCUCGCGCCUGAUUAGCUGGUUGGUGGGGUAACGGCCUACCAAGGCGACGAUCAGUAGCCGAUCUGAGAGGGUGGACGGCCACAUUGGGACUGAGACACGGCCCAAACUCCUACGGGAGGCAGCAGUGGGGAAUUUUGCACAAUGGGGGAAACCCUGAUGCAGCGACGCCGCGUGAACGAAGAAGGCCUUCGGGUUGUAAAGUUCUGUCCUUGGUGAAGAUAAUGACCGNACCAGAGAG
rnacentral:rRNA from 1 species